rnacentral:pre_miRNA from 1 species
CUUGGCACUGGAAGAAUUCACAGAUAUUUUUGAAAUCGUGGAUCUCCCUGUGCCAAAGC